GACGAGCGCUGGCGGCGUGCCUAACACAUGCAAGUCGAACGGAGUAAACCGCUGAAAUGAAGGUAGCUUGCUACUGAAUUUUCUUGGUUUGCUUAGUGGCGGACGGGUGAGUAACGCGUGAGAAACCUGCCUCUCAGUGGGGGACAACAGUUGGAAACGACUGCUAAUACCGCAUAACACUUUAGUACCGCAUGGUACAGAAGUCAAAGCUUUAUGUGCUGAGAGAUGGUCUCGCGUCUGAUUAGCUAGAUGGCGGGGUAACGGCCCACCAUGGCGACGAUCAGUAGCCGGUCUGAGAGGAUGAACGGCCACAUUGGAACUGAGACACGGUCCAGACUCCUACGGGAGGCAGCAGUGAGGAAUAUUGGGCAAUGGAGGAAACUCUGACCCAGCCAUGCCGCGUGAGUGAAGAAGGUUUUCGGAUUGUAAAGCUCUUCGGAUGGGACGAUGAUGACGGUACCAUUUAAAGAAGCCCCGG
rnacentral:rRNA from 1 species